rnacentral:rRNA from 1 species
UCCGGAGAGGGAGCCUGAGAGACGGCUACCACAUCUAAGGAAGGCAGCAGGCGCGUAAAUUACCCAAUCCUGACACGGGGAGGUAGUGACAAUAAAUAACAAAGCGGGGCUUUUCAAGUCUUGCUAUUGGAAUGAGAGCAAUUUAAAUCCCUCAUCGAGGAUCAAUUGGAGGACAAGUCUGGUGCCAGCAGCCGCGGUAAUUCCAGCUCCAAUAGCGUAUAUUAAAGUUGUUGCAGUUAAAAAGCUCGUAGUCGGAUUUCUGGCUUGUGUCCCAGGUCGGCCCGAUAGGGUCUGUUACUAGGAGACGCUUGCCAUCCUGAGGAGUAGCGUGUGUGCUAUUAUUUAGUGUGCUCGUGAGUCCUCUCGUUUACUGUGAACAAAUUAGAGUGUUUAAAGCAGGCAAUUGCCUUGAAUACAUUAGCAUGGAAUAAUAAGAUAGGACUUCUGGUCUAUUUGUUGGUUCAGGCCUGAGGUAAUGAUUAAUAGGGAUAGUUGGGGGUAUUCAUAUUCAAUUGUCAGAGGUGAAAUUCUUGGAUUUAUGGAAGAUGAACAACUGCGAAAGCAUUUACCAAGGAUGUUUUCAUUAAUCAAGAACGAAAGUUAGGGGAUCGAAGAUGAUUAGAUACCAUCGUAGUCUUAACCAUAAACUAUGCCGACUAGGGAUUGGACGUUGUUAUUUUUGACACGUUCAGCACCUUAUGAGAAAUCAAAGUCUUUGGGUUCCGGGGGGAGUAUGGUCGCAAGGCUGAAACUUAAAGGAAUUGACGGAAGGGCACCACCAGGAGUGGAGCCUGCGGCUUAAUUUGACUCAACACGCAAAUCA